rnacentral:lncRNA from 1 species
UUUUUAUUCUUUUGGCUUUCAUUUAGGAAUAGUUUAGUUCAGUUGCUUGAGUACAGUUGAUUGAAUACAGUUGCAGCAACUAAUUAAAAUCUGUUAUAAGUUAGGGGCACUUUAAAUCUGUGCUCUUUUGUCUCCACUAUGACGCAUUAUUUUAAGCCCAGAGUUUAGAACCUGUACAAAUUCCCUCUCAGUCUGAAGCUUUGAUGAAUGAUGAAGAGGAUGCGGUAUUACUCACUUUGAACUGAAAAAAAGUUUGUUAAAAUAUAAUGUUCUAUAAAAAGGUGGCAGAAACAGAUUCUUUCUCUUUUCUUGUUGAAAAUAGGGCACUUGCCCCUUUGGAGUCAGCCACCAUGUUAUGAGGAAGUCUGGGACACAUGAAGAGGCCACAUGCACUUAUUCUGUCUAAAAGCCCUAGCUAAUUGCAAGGCUGACAGCCAGCAGCAACUAUCAUUUUUGUGAAUAAAUAAGUCUUCAGAUGAUUCCAAAUCCCAGCCUUUGAGUCACCCCAGCUGAUGUCAAGUAGAGCAAAGAUGAGCUAUCCUCACCGAACUCCAUCUAAAUUGCUGAUUCCUGAGCAAAAUAAAUGUCAUUGUUCUAAGUC